rnacentral:lncRNA from 10 species
CUAGGGAGGCUGUGGCAUAAGAAUCGCUUGAACCCAGGAGGCAGAGGUUGCAGUGAGCCGAGAUUGCGCCACUGUACUCCAGCCUGGGUGACAGAGCGAGAAUCCAUCUUAAAAAAAAAAAAAGGCUCUGGAACAUUUCAUUUCCUGUUUUGUUACUGACCUGUGACUCUGUAAAAGUCUACUUUCGCAAUUUGGAUUAAUAAUUUUAUGAAUGCAAAUUGGAGAUGCUGUUCAAAAAAAAAAAAAUAGAAAAGUCUUACAAAGGAAAGACAAUCACAGUGAUAGCAGACAUCUAGUUAGCUACAGUAGACACCUGGAGUCCAUUCAAACCUAGAGAAAACUCAGCCUUGAAUUUGCUAUCAGCUACACCAUUCAAGAGCACGGGGGAAAUGAAGACAUUUUCAGACAUGCAAAGACUCAACAGUUUGCAAUGUACAAAACUUUAGUGGAAGAAAGUAGGUGUACUUAAGCAAAAAGAGAAUUUGUCUAGGGGCAUAAACUAAUGAGAGGGAGGGUACACCUAAAUACUGGCUAUAAAUGUAAUACUAGUUUAUAGUUUAAAAAGAGGCAGGAACUAAAAUUCUAGAAAGCAAUAUUGUGAAGAGUUAUUCAAGGCUGGGCACAGUGGCUCACGCCUGUAAUCCCAGCACUUUGGGAGGCUGAGGUGGGCAGAUCACCUGAGGUCAGGAGUUCGAGACCAGCCUGGCCAACAUGGUGAAACCCCAUCUCUA